GUCCACGCUGUAAACGAUGAGUGCUAGAUAUCGGGAGAAUUUCUUUCGGUUUCGUAGCUAACGCAUUAAGCACUCCGCCUGGGGAGUACGGUCGCAAGAUUAAAACUCAAAGGAAUUGACGGGGCUCGCACAAGCGGUGGAGCAUGCGGUUUAAUUCGAUGUUACGCGAAAACCUUACCAACCCUUGACAUGGUGGUCGAGAAUCGCAGAGAUGCUUUUCAUCAGUUCGGCUGGACCACACACAGGUGUUGCAUGGCUGUCGU
rnacentral:rRNA from 1 species